UUUGCCUCAGGGGGGAUGGAGCCUGGGGAAGGGUUGCAUUGUAGAUUAGUAGUACUGCUGAGGUGUUUUUCUCCAGUGUAGCAAGUUAAAAAUCUCCUGGGAGCUGCACUAAGCACUUAAUGUCUGCUGGGUUCCUGGAAGGGUGUUCUCUUUUGACUUGAAGAAAACCUGAGGGCCAGUUGAGAAAACUAUUCAAGGGAAGGCAGUAAAUAUGGAAAGAGAAGCAAGUCAUUUUUCUCCAGAGCUACUGAGGAUUGCCAUUGAGUUCCUGCAAGGCGGAGUGAAGGCUCUGUUGCUACGUAGCACUGCCCUGCAAGCAAGACAAGGGAUGAAGAAAAUUUACCUGCAAUUAUCAGUUCUGUCACUGCAGACCCUACCUUGUGGACAUCAAAAAAACUAAGAUGAAAGCUGCAAGAAGCCUCCCAUACUGCUCAUGCAUCAACACAGAUAUCUGAGAGAGUGGUCAGACACUGGAAUGGCCUGCCCAGCGAAGUGGUGGAGUCGCCGUUCAUGGCAGUGUUCAAGAGGUGUCUGGAUGAGGAGCUAUGAGGUAUGGUUUAGAGUCUUGUGGUACCAAUGGUAAUGGCAGG